rnacentral:rRNA from 1 species
CGCAAAUACAAUACGAAGGUUUUUCGGGGAUUAUUUCAUUCACCCUUGUCUUUUGCGCACUUGUUGUUUCCUGGGCGGGUUCGCCCGCCACCAGGACCACACCAUAAACCUUUUUUUAUGCGCAGUCAGUCAGCGUCAGUAUAACAAAUGUAAAUCAUUUACAACUUUCAACAACGGAUCUCUUGGUUCUGGCAUCGAUGAAGAACGCAGCGAAAUGCGAUACAUAGUGUGAAUUGCAGAAUUCAGUGAAUCAUCGAAUCUUCGAACGCACAUUGCGCCCUUUGGUAUUCCAAAGGGCAUGCCUGUUAGAGCGUCAUUUGUACCCUCAAGCUUUGCUUGGUGUUGGGCGUCUUUUUGUCUUUGGCUCGCCCAGAGACUCGCCUUAGGACGAUUGGCAGCCGGCCUCCUGGUUUCGCAGCGCAGCACAUUUUUGCGCUUGCAAUCAGCAUACAGAGGUUGGCAAUCCAUCAAGACUUUUUUUUUUACCUUUGACCUCGGAUCAGGUAGGGAUACCCGCUGAGCUUAAGCAUAUCAUAAGCGGGAGGAACGCUGAACUUAAGCAUAUCCAUA